UACGUAGGGUCCGAGCGUUGUUCGGAUUUACUGGGCGUAAAGCGCACGUAGGCGGUCUUUUAAGUCGGGGGUGAAAUCCUGGAGCUCAACUCCAGAACUGCCUUCGAUACUGGAAGACUUGAGUCCGGGAGAGGUGAGUGGAACUGCGAGUGUAGAGGUGAAAUUCGUAGAUAUUCGCAAGAACACCAGUGGCGAAGGCGGCUCACUGGCCCGGUACUGACGCUGAGGUGCGAAAGCGUGGGGAGCAAACAGG
rnacentral:rRNA from 1 species